rnacentral:lncRNA from 1 species
AAGCCUAUCUCCUUUUCCUGGAAACACAAUCAAAUUAACUUUCCAGUCACCGCUGUGUCUAGGUGUGGCCAUAUGAGUAGUUCUCACCAGUGGAAUGUAGUGAAAACGAGAUGCUGUCUCUUAGGGACUAAGGAAGCUAUCUUUCCUCUUCCGACAUUUGCUGACUGGUCGAUGCUAGAUGAUCUUGAGACCCUGUGCUGAGGACUGGAGAACUACAGGAAAGGAGCAGUAUCUCUGAAUUAUCGUGUGGAAGGUCACUUGUCUAGCCCCUGAUGACUGUGAGCCUCUUCCUCCUGCUUGCCACCUCUCAGUCACAAGACGGCUGCUGCGACUCAGGCUCAUGUCCCAAUUCAAGGCAGCAAGAAGGCCAUGGAGCGGCACCUGCCAGCAGAUGCCCCUGCAGGCCAUCUCUCCAGGCUCAGGAACCUAAAGAAGAAUCUACCCAGAUGUGGUGGCUCACACCUGUGAUCCCACCACUUUGGGAGGCUGAGGCAAGAGGAUCACUUGAGCCCAGGAGUUGGAGACCAACGUAGGCAAUACAGCAAGACUCCCAUCUCUACAAAAAAAAAAAAGAAAGAAAGAAAGAAAGAAAAGAAAUUAGCUGGCUGUGGUGCUGCACAUUUGUAAUACCAGCUACUCUAGAGGCUGAGGCUGGAGGAUCACUUGAGCCGAGGAGUGAGCUAUGACCACACCAUUGCAUUUCAGCCUCAGUGACAGAGCAAGGCCCUGCCUCAAAAAAAAAAAAAAAAAAAGAAAAGAA